UGCUGAGAGCCCACCUGCAGGGCUGCAUCAGCUCUGGGGUCCCAGCACAGCAAGGACAUGGAACUGAUGGAGAGAGUCCAGAGGAGGCAUGGAGCACCUCUCCUAAGAGAAAAGGUCUAGACAAUUUGGAUUGUUCAGCCUGGAGAAGAGAAAGCUUUAGUGUGACCUAAUUACGGCCUUCCAGUACCUGAAAGGAACUUAGAAGAAAGAUGGAGAAAGAUUGUUUACAAGAGUAUUUAGUGACAGGACAACGAACAACUUCAAUCUGAGAGCAGAUUUAGAUUAGAUAUUAGGAAGAAAUUCUUUACUGUGAGGGUGGUGAGACACUGGCACAGGUUUCCCAGAGAAAAUGUGGAUGCCCCAUUCCUAGAAGUGUUUAUGGCCAGGCUGGAUGGAGGUCUGACCAGCCUGUUCUAGUGGAAGGUAUUGCUGCAGGGUGUUUGGAAAUAGAUGAUCUUUAAGGUCCCUUCCAACCCAAGAUAUCCUAUGAUUAUAUGAAACUCAGAUGUGAAAUAAGACAUAGUUUCUUACUGUGUAAUAAUAAGUGAUAGAACCCACUGAAAAAAGGUAGAUAUUUAAUUUCUAUAUGCUUUUUGAGGCAGCAUUGUUUAUUUAUGGGUAGUCUAAAGAAGGCAAUAUGAGCUAAUAACUUCUCUUGGCUUCAACAUCUAUGAUUAAAUCCAAUGUUUAGCUCAUUUAUUUUAUAAAAUAGGUCCACUCAAUUGGUAUUUAAUUGGUCCUCUGAGCACUGACUGGAAAUGCAUAACACUGCUAACACAGAGCCAAAUUACUUUGUCAUUUCAUCCAUGCUGAACAGAAAGAUAGAAGUUAGACCUUGUCAAUAUUCAUAGGAUGUUCGUAGUUGAAUCUCAAAGAUACUGCUGGAAAUGGGCAUGAUCCUACAAAGCUGAACACAAGAGAAACAGGACACAAGAGAAAAGGAAUUGGAAGCAAGGAAAACAUAAACAUUAUCAUUCUAGUCCUGUUUUUGUUUAAGAAUUAGAGAAGCAACAAUUCUUACACUGGGGGAGUGCAAAAUGAUUUCUGGGAAGGGAGUAGGAAUGUGGCUAGAAGCUACUGUUGUGAGGAUCUUUGGCUAAGAGCCCAGGUGUCUGGGACAUACAUGGCAUCAGUUAACUCACUGGAAAUAGGUGGGGGUGUUUCUUCCUGAGAUUUAACCACAAGUCUCUCUGUUGCUUGACUGUAGCUUUCUUAAUACUUUGUUCUUUGACUUUACCCCUCUUCUAGCAAUUUCUUCCCUGUUAACUCCUGUUCUCUAAUCUCAGUGACAGCAGUACGUCCUCAAUCAUCUGACUCCAUGAGGAUACCUAUGAGGGAGAAAGCUCCCUAUACAACAUAGGACAACAAAUAUUAUACAACAUCCUUGCUUAUCCUAUUAAGAAAGGAUAUUAUCCAAGUGUAGGGGCCUGAGUAAAUAUAUGUAUUGUAAAUAUAUGUAUGGCAGUAAAAGACCUCUGUAUUGUAGAAGUGACCCUGCCCUGAUUCUAGUUAUUGUAAAUGGGCUGCAGCUGUGAUGUCCUUGAUUGGGCAGCAGCUGUAGCCCAUGGAGGUAGCUGGGAUUAAAGGGGGUGGGGUGGUCAGGGAGAGCUUUGGAGAGGAGAGGAGCGGAGCCCUGACUGAGAAGCAACAACAACACUGCUGUGAAGAUCUGCUGUGAGAAAACCAGAAGGUAUGAGACUCUGGAAAUAUAAUUAUACAACAAUAUGAAUACAACAUCCAAGAAUCCUUGACUAUAUACUAAUGAAGACUAGGUUUUCUGUGUCUGCAGAGACAGACGUCUUAAUGCAAUCUGAGACCUGUUAACUCAGGUUGUGAUUCCACAAAAACUUCAAGCUAAUGGAGGAGUCCAAAAAGCACAAAUUUAGUUUUCUUGUGGCUCCACAGAUGCCACAAGACAUCAAAACAAAUGCUUUGUUUUCCUAGCAAAACAAAGACAUCAGUAAAAGCACCCCCUUCCCAAGCCACUCAGUCUGCUUAAAGAGUUCUUCAGAACGUACCUUUGAAAAGUGGUUGGAGACUCAUAGUAGUUCUAGUCACAGUGGAAGCAGGUAAGUACUGUUUGAUGUGUGAGGCAGCAGGUAGAGUUGCCUUAUCCAGACAGUUUGAGUUUCUAUAAAAAAACCUAUUUACAUUUGGUGUAAGUGAACUUAAAAGCUUAGCGCAUUUAGUAAAGUCCACUCUUAAGAUUUUAAUCCUGGAAGCACUUAUCUGAGACCCUAUCUCAACAGGAAAAAUAAUGACUCAGGGUGACUAAUGGAGUUUGGUCCCGUGUUCCUGAGCAUAUGUAAAUACAGCAAAUGGGUGUGUAUGUUUGAUUUUGUUUUUUCCUUUCACAGUUCCUUUUUCAUCUAUUAGGUGCCUUACAGGGAAAAGGAUGGGAGUUGAGAUGGGACAACAGACUAUAUACAGAGGCUGGUUUGUGUACUGAAAUUGAAUAUUUGACCCCAUUGGAGCGUCCCAGAGUACAGAAGUGAUUCACUUGCAGGAUUCUGCAGUUUCUGUUGCAGGUUUUGACCUUUGUGGAUUUGCUGAUGUCUGUUCUUCUGGCUCUUUAAGAGGAAACAGAAGCUGGCAAAGAACAACCUUCAGCAUCUGCCUGUUUUACUACCUUUCCUUGAACUUCAGAUGACAGAACAUUGAGAAACAUCAUCUCACGUCCUCAUGCAAGUUGCUUGUUAUCUGCCUUGAACUUGUCAAGGCGAGCUUAGCUAGAUUUAUCUUGCCAGAAGUAAAUUAAGAAACACUCUCAGGGAGUCCUUUGCCAAUAAAUCUAAGGAAGAAGUAACCUCAUAUAGCAAAACAAAGACAAAGAGACUGGGGAAGAGUUUUCCACAUGCUCUUAAAAAGAAAAGGAAAGAAGUGUUCUUAAAUUUGCCUACUGAUUUUACAGUGUAUGAAGAUAUAGUUUUCACACAAAUUUACAGUUUAACUAUCAGACUUACACUAUCCCACUUAUAUGAAAUCUACAAACAUUUUUCCUUCAUUAGGACUUUUGGUUAAUUAGUUCAGAUAAAGAAUACUUUCUUACUCAGAUUAAGAAAACUUUUUCCCCUCCAGUUGUAAGAUAAAACUGUAAGAGGGCUAGAUUAGAUCCAGAGCAUAAAAUCACAGAAUCAUAGGAUAGUUUGGGUUAGAAGGGACCUUAAAGAUCAUCUGGUUACAAAUAUAUAGGACUACAGAUCAAAACUUUCCCAAAGACUGGAGAUCACUGAAUGCAUUUCAUAUUUAUUUGUUAAUAGCAAAGCGAACUCAUAAUUUUAAUUUUACAAUUGGGAAAAUUGAAGCACUAAGAGAACUAGAAUGCAGCUUCUCAGGCAACUUUAUUUUGAAUAUGAGUUGGACAUGCCUUUCAGAGGUACUGAAUAUCUGGAAAUUCCUGUUAGAACUCAGGAAAAUUUGCCCUUGUUCAAAGUAAUGUUAGCUACCAGCCCAGGCUUGCCAAUUUGAUAGAAAAUGCUACUAGAUUGUAGCUAUGAAACUAAACCCAGUUACAUUAACAUUCCUAUUUUUUUAAGUUCACUUUACUUCUUGUAUUGAGCACUGGGGGUGAGUGGCUCUGUUUCUGACUACAAGAACAGCAUUCAGAAAUAAGCAAUUAAAUAGAAGUAAACAGCAACCCUGUGAAGAAUUUUUUGAGAUUAUAUGGAGAAACAGAGUUAGUAGUUAUAAAUUCUGUAACUUAGGGUAGGUCAACACUGAUGAGCUCUGAUUUCACAACAUUACACUCCAGUCUGACAGGAAGCCAUGUGUCCCUAUUAAUAAAAUGGGAUACCUAAACUCCGCUUCUUACUGGAGCUGGUGAAUUUGAAACGAAUGGCAUGCUAACAUACCAACAGAAACUUCCAGAUCAUCAAUUUUGUGUUUAGCAAGUAUGGAAUCUAGGGGAGACCCUUAUUGUUUCCAGUGGAUUUUGAAUCUUUAUCUGCUGCUUUUCAUUCCCCUGAACCACUGACCAGAAUACAUAAUCUUGUGUACAUGCAUUGCGCAGUACCAUUAAGCAAGCACCUAAUAGCCUGAUUUGAUAGUAUAAGAUAGUGUUUGAUUUAGCAGGUUGGUGAACUCUGUACUGCAAAAAAGAUGAGUAAUUUUUAUUGAUUGUGGCAAAACAGCCAAGCGGGCCUUAACCAGGGCAUGUGAACAUUUCCAUGCGUGAGUUGCACAUAUUAAGAGCAAGAUCUUGUCAAGAGGACAAUUUCCAGUGCUACCCAGGGAUGCUAAAAUGCUUCUAAGAGAGAGACAUUUAGCCUUUUUCAAGGAAAAAAAGCCACUAAGGUGAGGAGCUUGUGGAAAACUUAGAGUAUCAGGAGUAUCCUCCACAAACAUGGUGGAGUAACAGCAAGGCUUCCAUGGAAGCUUCUUUGGGCUGUAAAAGAAGAAUGUCUUCCACACUACCAAAUAUGAGACUUGAUUCUGUCUCCAAAAGCUUUUGCCACAGGAUCUUUUGCAGCUAAAUCAAAAUAUAACCCAGGAAGUCAGUCACACCAAAAUGAUUUCCAGCAACUAUCUGGCCCUCUUUCCUCUUUUUGUACCAAGUCAAAGAAAUCUAAGUAGAGAAAGCUUGGAUGUUUGUAGUGCAUUCAUCUUAGAUUCUUAUGCAGUAUAUAAGAAUAAAUAUACAUCUAGUAAGGAACUAGAUCUUUUGGAAUUUAAUAAAAGAAACUCUCAGAUCUAGAUAAAAAGAAAAGAUUAGUUGCUUAUAAGUGGCUUGUUGAUAAAACAUUAUAAAAGAAUGUGGUUUAAGUAGAGAAUAACAUGAAGUAUCUCAGGUUUUGUGGUGGGAAUGUCUUAUAGUCGAGCAAAUAUAGUUUUACUAGCUAUAUUUUAUGAGUUACAUUUUAAUUAGUUAUUCAUUAUUUUAAUAGUCCUAUAAUUGUUACUUAGUUCUAGAACAGGCCUGGACAUUUUUGUCCUGUGCAUUUUGUAUCUACCAACAAAAUCCUCAUCCAUAGCUACAUGUCCUGACUGUUUAUGAAAUACAAUUAAACAGUUACAGGAUCUUGUUACAUAAGUGCAAUACUUGGUGUAUUGUUUAACUGAUGGUACCUAGAUGAUGGCCAAACAAGGACAUUUUUCUUUCUGGUGGUAAGUUAUUAUGAAAUAAUUUGUCUUUUAAAAUAGACUGCUUUAUUGGCAGCAUGGCCUCAUCUAGUGUGUUUUACUACAUAAAGGGUGAAAACUAAAUGGGUACACAUGGGCUGAUUUAUGUGUCACAUGAGACAUGGAGACUUGCUGUUAUCUUUCCGAAGUGCAGCAUGACACCAUAACAACAGGUUGCUGCCUAGCCUUCUGAUGAUAUCAGAAGGUUAUAGAGGUUAUAGAGGAACUGUAGUCAAAUUUUAAAAAAAAAUCCUGUAUGAUAUGUAAAUAUGUAUAAUUGACUCCCUGUCCUUAUCAAGCCAGCACGAGUUAGUCCUGUUCCUUCUUCUUCUGCCUUAAUUAAACACGUAACAUCUGUUGUGGGGGCGGGUUUAUAGUGCCUGUCUGCCUGUAAUUGAUGAUACUGUUGCUUGCUUUUGCCUUUCUUCAAGUAUUUAGAGGAGAACUAAGUUUGACCCAGUUAGUCUCUUUUGAAUCAGAUGUCAGGUUAACUCUGUUACAGCUGAAGAGGAAAGAGGUAAUGAUCUUUGAACAGCUAACAAAACAUAAGACACACUGAAAGAUAAGGACGUUCCAGAAAAAAAUGUUAAAGUACAUAACAUUUCUUCAUGUUAUAAAGAAAACCUGGAGGUUGUGUUACUCAGAAACAAUAGGUGGAGGUCUCUAACUCUGGGGGGAGCAGAAUAAGGAUGCUAUUCUUUCUAAGUACAAUUAGUGUGGACUUUCAAAACAAGGAUCAGGCCUCACAAAUCUGAUAUCCUCUUCUGGAGACAGGAAAACUAAGUGAGUCACAGCAGGAAAACUAUUGACAUGAUUAAUCAAGACAAGGGGAAAGCUUUUCAUACAGGAAUUUACAAAAGGCCUAAUCUCAAACCCAAGAAGUAAAGCAAAUAAACAGUUUAGGUGCAUAAGAAGUUAGUUGCCAGUGCCAAGACAGAAUAGUGCAAGACAGGAUUACGAAGCCUAGAAACUAAUUACUGUGAGACUGGAAAGAAAGGGGAACAGUGAGAAAGCUGAGAGAAAACAUUCUUUGAUAAUUGUGUUAUUUGACAAUUAACAGUCUUAGGGUGUCCAAUGCAAGUAAAUUGACUCCUAGUUCAUUAGAAUCACUUGCAUCUCACAUGACAUCUCUAAACAUGUAAAAGAAAAAUGUUCUUUGAAUAUUAGACAUCUUCGAGGUCAAAUGCAUGGGUGUAAUGAAUUGAAUUGAUUAUUUAUGUUAUGGACCCAUCCAUAACAGAACCAUCCAUGCUUCAUAGCUAUAAACACCUUUUUUUCCUUUGUGUCCCUGCAGCAUUCCUGACUGCUGAGAAUACUUCAAUGCCUGUGCUACUGGCAAGAACUUGAGGCAAAGAUGGCAUGUCAGUUUUCUUGUGGCUCUAGCUCCCUACUGAGAGCCUCAAAAGCUGUCUGGAAGCAGUCCUUCAAAGCCUGCUAGCUUUCUAAGGCUGUGAGUGGACAUAAUUUAUUGACAGCUCCAAAGGGAUACCCUUCUCUGCUCUCUGUUUGCAGGCCAAACAGAUAGUUUUUGGAUAGUUUCUCAUUACAUGAUUAGGAGUAUGACACCACUUCACUGUUUGAACAGUCAUCCUAAAGACUGAGAAGAGGUCAUGGCUAGCUAUCUCAAUGUGCAAGCAUGACGACUUUAAAAUAAACGUAGCUUCAAUCCAUGGGAAGGGCUGUCAGUCCCCCAUUUUUUUAGUUCCCAAGAUUUCCCUCCAUCCACCAGCUGUAAGGUCAGGUGAAGAUCCCUGUACCUGAUCUGGUUAAUACACUAGCACUCUAGCUGUCAGUGAGCCCUACAUCCACCUACUAGACUAUACCUGCUCCUAAAGGAGUAUUAGUAGACUACUCAGGUCCCUGCUCUCCCCUUUGGCCUUUCUGUCACCUUGUUAGGGAACAGCUGAUAACAUGGUCUCAAGACAAGUGGAAGUACCUGUCCCCUGCUGGAACUGUUGGUCAGGGCCUUGAUGGCAUGGACAGGGUGCACUGUCCCUGCCCAGCCUUCCCUACAGCAUCCCACAUCCUACCAUUUCAGCUUCUCGGGGCUGCCAGCCCUGGCCCAGUGAUGCCACAGCAGGGAUGCUCUCUGGCUUCCCUGAGCACUGCUAGAGCCUGGCAUUGAUGUUCCAGCAGCUCCUCCACUUGGCUAAACUAAGAUGGUAAGAAAAGCUGAGGGACUCAUGCUAUCUAUUGCUGCUAUCUCUGUCAGGGCUGUGUUACAGAGACAGGUGGCUGAAACCUGAGGUGUUCUGUAUCAUGAAGGACAUUAAAGUAUGUUUAAAAGAGAUGCACCAAAGGAUGGAUGGAUGGAUGGAUGGAUGGAUGGAUAGAUAGAUAGAUAGAUAGAUAGAUAGAUAGAUAGAUAGAUAGAUAGAUAGAUAGAUAGAUAGAUAGAUAGAUAGAUAGAUAGAUUUGUUGUCUGAUCAAUUAACUAAUAUCUUUAAACUUUUUUCCUACAGAUCUGUAGCUGGACUUAUUUUCUAAAAUGUUAAUUAAAUGGACUUUGAUGGUUGAAUUACUGUGAAUUACUUAUUGAAAGAAAGAAACUUCUUAGAUACAUUAUGUGACUUUAAACAUCUGCUGUUGCCUCAUGAAAGAGAAGGAUAGGGUAUAUAUUAUAUAUAGGGUAUAUAUAUUAUUACUUUCCUCUUUUAGGAAAGGCUGGUGUGUCAUGCUUUUGUGUUAUCUGUUACUACUGCUUUUCUUGAUACUCUUCUGCCUUCCCCUUCAUCAGUGUUGACAUGGACGACACCACUGCUCUCCCUGGUUUAUGAUAUUUGAGGAAUUUGGUCAAUCCAAGAUGUAAUGUCAUCCUCUCCCCCUUCCUCCCCCUGCAUUCUCCCUGACUGCCUCUGUAACAAAGGCAAUGUUCUCAAGAGGCAUAUUUAUGGAUUUUCAAAACUUCAGAUAAGCCCAUCCAAGUUUAUAAAAUACACCUAGUUGUGGAAAAAACCUGACCACAAUCUACACUCUUAGCCUGCCAAGGACUGUCAAGGGGUUGGUACUAUCUCUACUUACUGCAUUCUGCCAGAAUGUGUCACUGGGCUGUGAGAGUCUUGGGUGUUUCUGUACUGCAAAUAAUGGUGCUACUUGUUAGUAAAUAAAUCCUGGAACGGUCUAGAAUUCCCAGUAGAGUCACUCAUGACAAAGGGUGUUAUUUAAUUUUGUGGUAGCCGUGGUAUGCUGAGUGGUUUACAUUUGAGAAGCCACAUGACCAGGAAAAGAAACAAAGAGUGCUCUCAGAUGACAACCAUGUAAUGAAAAGAGCAAAGCGCGUUUAAGUGUUUGGUAUGUAUGCUAGCAGAGGUGUAAUAAAUCUGUUCAAGUAAGUGAAAAA